UCCGGUUUGUCACCGGCAGUCCCAUUAGAGUGCCCAACUGAAUGUGGCAACUAAUGGCAAGGGUUGCGCUCGUUGCGGGACUUAACCCAGCAUCUCACGACACGAGCUGACGACAGCCAUGCAGCACCUGUGUUACGGCUCCCUUUCGGGCACACCCCCAUCUCUGAGGGCUUCCGUACAUGUCAAGGGUAGGUAAGGUUAUUCGCGUUGCAUCGAAUUAAUCCACAUAAUCCACCGCUUGUGCGGGUCCCCGUCAAUUCCUUUGAGUUUUAACCUUGCGGCCGUACUCCCCAGGCGGAAUGCUUAAUGCGUUAGCUGCGACACUGACGAGCAUGCUCGCCAACGUCUAGCAUUCAUCGUUUACGGCGUGGACUAC
rnacentral:misc_RNA from 1 species